UCUCUGAGGAGGUGACAUUUCAGCCAAGGCCUGAGGGUAUGAAGAGCUUUCAGCCUGCAAAGGGUAGAGAAAGAGCAUCCUUGGCGAAGGAAACAGCAGAUGAAAAGUCCUAGAGAUGGGAAUGAGGCUGGAAUAAGGAAGAAAUGAAGGAAGGCCAGGCUGGAAGAAACGCAGGCAACAAGCUUGAGAUUGAGCUCUCUCUGGCUGUGCUGAGAACGGACUGGCAAAGCAAAAACGAGGCAGAGUGACCUUUUGGAGGGCAGAAAUCUGGGGAGAGGUGCUGUGGCCACACCAGGGUCGGGGCUGUGGGCUCAGAGAGAAGUGGAUGGACUCCAGACAUAGCUAUUUUUGUCCAGCCUGACAGCCCUUGGCGAUCCCAGCCGUCUGGGCUCCGUGAGCCGGAUGCAAAGCAGGCAGCACAAACGUCUGGUGCUGAAUCCCAAGAGGAUUCCUCUCUGGGCGCCGUCACGUGGGAACGCGGCUUCUGUGCUGUGUAUCCGACGGGACCACAGGCCAGAACGUUGUACCCGGUACUCAGCAAAUCCUGGAACAUGACAGAGCCCAUGGUUGAGCUCUGCCUCCUGCCCUCGCCUUUGGCAUCACUGAAGGACACAGAGGUGACACCAUAAAGUCAACGUCUUAGACCUUCAUGAAAUGGCAUAUGUGGCUUGCCCGGAGGGUUGCAGCCCACUUGACAAUCCUCUUGGCAUUAGAGGUUGGAUCAUUUUCAUCACUGCUCAAAGAGAAAAGGCUGCAGGGGAGACCAGAUCAACAUUUGCCAAACCUUACUGCUAUGGCCCUGGCUUUGUCCAGCUACAUCUGGAAAAGGCUAUUUCCAUCCAAACAUCUGGACAAGAAUGUAAGGCCAGUGAAAACUCCUGGAAGUGAUGGCUCAGCAAGCUAGGCCCAGGGCUCAGGGGGCCAGAUCCUGAGAUCUCUAGGGCGGCUUGUUUACAAAGCUUCACUCUGGACAAGCCGCAAGAGCCAAGGUCUACUAAGAAACACGGCCUUUGUCCCUCCAGGGUGGGUAAGGUGUCUCCAGGGGUAUUGGGUUAGCACUGUGCGCGUCACUGCCUUCAGCCUGAUCCCUCCUCAGGGACCAUCUGUUGGAGGCUGACACCCCCCUUUCAGGGGAGCUCAGCCAUCCCUUUCCCACCCUCCUGGUUCUCUGCAUCCCUCUCCCUCCACUCUUGUAUCCCACAGGCAUGUCUCACAUCACAGCUUUCCAGGCAUCUCUACAGGUGUUAAUACUUCUCUCCUUUGAAGGAGAGCCCAUUUCACCCAGGCAUCACCACAUGUAUGAAUACUUCUCUCCUUUGAGGGACAGCCCCACUUCACCCGGGCAUCACCACAUGUAUUAAUACUUCUCUCCUUUGAGGGACAGCCCCACUUCACCCAGGCAUCACCACAUGUAUUAAUACUUCUCUCCUUUGAGAGACAGCCCCAUUUCACAGAUGAGGAUGCUGAGCAUGGGGAGCUACGGCAGCUUGCCCAGCCUAUGCAGCUGCUGAGGAGCAAAACCCGCAUGGGAAUCCAUGUCUUCUGGCUCCAAACUCAGCAUUGUUUUCCCUCCUAAUUCCUACUUCCUGUCUGUCUGAAUAGCCCUCCAGUCCCCUUAGCCGAAUAGCUCCCAAGAGCCCAGCCAGAGCGAGUUCUUUUCCAGGCUGUGAUCUGGCCCUGACACUGGGAGAGGGUGUGAGAGCUUCUUGACUGAGAGCCUGGAAAUAAGGCAGAUUUUCAGGGGCCCAGAGAAAAUACAUUGAGUCCCAAGAUCGGCUCCAUGGGCAUCAACAGAUCCCUAGCCAGAAUUCUGGGGUAGUCUCUUGAGGGAGAGGCAGCUUUCCAGGUGGUCUGGCCACCAGUCAUGACCACCCUCAGUGGUCAGCCUCAGUUCUUUUUAGGGAAAUACCCUGAGGAGCCUUUGCAGGUGACCCCGUUCAUUUUCCAUCAACCAGAGGCAGACUCACAAUGUCUUCAGUGAAAGGUUUUCAGAGAGCAUUCAGCCCACUUGUAAAAUGUGGAAACUCAGAGAGGGGAAGGUAUCUGCUCCAGGACACACAGCAAAUUAAAGGAAAUUCCAGAGCUGAAGCCAAGUCUACUGGUUUUUCAUCCACUGCUCCCCACGUAGUCAUCAUCCCACCGUGUAUACAUCAUAGCCAGUACUUCCUGUUCUAGACAGCAUUUCCACGUUUGCUUGUUUCAUUUAUCAUACAAUAGCUCUGUGAAUUAAGUAUUGGGGCCAUUUCACGCUAAGGAAAAAUAAUCAUUUGCUAGCUGGAGGGAGAGAGACACAAAGUCCCGUCUACAGACAUCCAGGCUUUUCAUUAGACCAUGCUGUUUCAUGAACAUGGCACCCUCCAACUGAACAGUGACCCCUUAGCAGUUUUUAAAACUUAAUUAAUUAGGCUGCGCUGGCUCUUCAUGACUCACAGGGGGUCUUUCUUUGAGGUGCUCCGACUCUCCAGUUGUGGCAUGUGGGCUCAGUAGUUGUGGUCCAUGGGCUUAGUGGCUCCACUGCAUGUGGAUCUUAGGGAUCUUAGGGAUCUUAGGUCCCUGCCCAUGGAUCUAACUCGUGUCUCGUGCAUUGCAAGGGGGAUUCUUAACCACUGGGCCAUCUGCCCUAGAGAGCAGUUUUAUCUGGAAGUUGCCUUGUGUCAAAGCAAGAAGUUGUAUGCCUUAAGUCCAUUACCCUAUCAAAGCCUCAUCCUGUGAGGUAAGAUAUUAGCAUCCCCAUAUUGUAAGGGAGAAAACUGGGAUUCAGAAAGGGGUAGUCACUUGCCUAAGUUAAUGGUGGUGAGAGUCACAUACAAGUCUGUCUGACUUCAAAGGCCACCAUGUGCCUCAAAUCAUGUAGAAACAACCCACAGACCCUGAACCAGUGCCUGACAUGUGGCAGGUGCUCAUUAAAUUUUUUGCAGAGGGGGAGGGGAGAGGUAUAUUCUCAGUUUGGACCCAUGGGUGUCAGGGGGCUGGGUUUAGAUAGGAGCUCUGAGGGUGAUUCUCACAUGUGGGGCAGGACACGGCCACCAGGUGGACACCCACAGUGACAGUGGAACACACCCUGCUCUUUACUCUGAGUGGGGAGGGGUUGGAGCCCUGCCUCUGACCCUGGGGAGAGGCUGGCUGCUUCAGUCCCGUGGCCCUUGCCACUGUUUAUCUGGCUUUCUUUGUCCAUGGAGCUCUUCUUUUCUGAGAGUUCCCUGAGGGCAGAAGCUGAGCAGGAUACAUCUGGGCCCCCCACACCCAGCCCAGGGUCUGGGCCACAGCAGGCAUCGUUCAGCGCUCCCUGAAUUGAAGCAUUGAUGUCUGCUGGGGGGAGGGCCUUUUGGUGAGUGCUACAAAGAGGGGUCUAUAAGUCCGCCUAUGCCAGAUGUCCAACUGCUUUCUCUCCUCUGAGGGGGUCUGCUCGCCAGAGAAUCUAGACAGUCUCAAAAAAUGGGCUCUGGUUGAAAGAACAAAAUGUUGUAUAGGAAAAAAAACUACGUACCGAUCCUUUAUGCCAUAGUCCAAAUGCCACUGCCUUCAGGAAGCCCUCCUUGCACAUUUGGUUGUGAGUGACCUCUCCCUGUUCAGGUGCCCUCACAGCCCACAGUCUGUCUCUCCUUCCAUCUUCCAUCCUGCCCAUGGACUUUGUGUGACCUGGCAGGUCACUGACCAGGCUGCAAAUUCUUGGGAGGACAGAAGCCAGCUCCCAUUGGCCUAGCUCUCUGACACCAAUUUCACGCCUCUGAUUCAUGAAGACCCAAUGACACUGAGCUUCAGACCCCUCCCCCGCCCCCACACACAUGGCAUUGGUCCCUUCCCCUGCUCCCAGCAGCCACAGACUCAGAUAACUGAUUCUUUAAAUAGCAGUUUCUGCUAAACAGUUUUUAAAGGCUAGUAAGUUGCAUAGGGAAUUGUAUUAUAUACCCUAAAACCUCAUGAACAGGAAAUUACCUCCUAUUAUAAGCUAGAAAUAAUUGGAAGGUGGUGGCCCUUUAUUGAACUUGUGAUUGAAAAGGAUCCCCUGGUCUCAGAAAACUGGAGAUCACUGAGAUUAUGACCUAUUCUCAGAAACAUCCCUAAGAAUGAACGGAAUCCCCUUUGCAAAUCUAGUCUAGUGAUUCAGGUUUAGAUGAACCAGGAGGGACCAGAUAGACCUCCCUUUUCUACUCCUUGUUCUCCUUUAUUUCCUGACGAGGAAACAGGCUCUCAAAGGGAAAGCAAUGGCCCAAGGUCAAACCGUGAGCUGGUGGCAGAUUUGAGGCUAGGACUCAGGCCUGCAGGCUCCCAGUCAGUCCCUGCUGCUCUUUCAAGUUCUGGGUAUCACAUAUUGAGUGCCUGAUACUAAUUAAGCAUUUGCUACAUGCUAGGCUCUGUGUGAAGCCUUUGACAUAGGUUAUCUCAUUUGAUUUUCCUAAUAAUUCUAUGAGAUCAGUUCUAUUAUUUAUACCCAUUUUACAGAUGAAGAAACUGAAACUUAGCUUGUUCACAGAACUGGGAUGUAACAGAGCUUUUACAAGUCUAGUUUGUUCUAUAGGUUUGACACCAGAUCUGAAAAUGUACCAAGAGUCGAAAGACAUUGGCAAGAGGCUGAUGUGGUAGAAAGGACACUGGAAUCGAAUGGAGUCAAGGCCCUUGCAUUGACCAUAGGCACGUCACCGAUUAUUGUCUUCAAUAUUAAAACCUUAAUUGCAAAGUCCA